rnacentral:rRNA from 1 species
AAACAUGUCUAUUUGAGGAUAUUUAUAGUCUAGCCUGCUCAGUGACAUAAGAGUUAAAUAGCCGCGGUAUCAUGACCGUGCAAAGGUAGCAAAAUCAUUAGUUUUUUAAUUGAAAACUCGUAUGAAUGGUUGGACAAAGAAAAAUCUGUCUCUGGUAUUAAGAUUGAAUUUGACUUUUAAGUGAAAAGGCUUAAAUUCUCUAGAGGGACGAUAAGACCCUAUAAAGCUUUAUAUAUUAAAUGAUUUUAUGGAUUUAAAAAAUAAAAAUUAUUCUGAAAAAUUUAUUUGGUUGGGGCGACAGAGGUAUAAUUUAGAUAACUGCUAGGAAUUUAUACAAUUAUUCUUGAAUUAUGUUUGUAAAUGAUCCUUGUUAGAGAUUAAAAGAUCAAGUUACUUUAGGGAUAACAGCGUAAUUUUUUCUGAGAGUACUUAUCAAAGAAAAAGUUUGCGACCUCGAUGUUGAAUUAGAAUGUCUUUAUAGUGCAGCAGCUAUAAAAGAAGGUCUGUUCGACCUUUAAUUUUUUACGUGAUCUGAGUUCAGAC